rnacentral:misc_RNA from 1 species
AACCAUAGAAACCUGCGGAGUACCUGCGGAAGGAUCAUUAAAAAGAGUGUGUACCCCCCUGUAAAAUGGGUGGGUUACCUCCCGUCCUUUGUUGACCUCUUAGGAGGUUAUUUUGAACUUUUCUGCUUCGGUGGGGUUAAACCUACCGGAACACCCUCAAAUUCUGAUCAUUUAAAAAUUGUUCAGUCCGAUUUUUGUUAAUAAAAACAAAAAACUUUUAGCAAUGGAUCUCAGAUCGGA